ensembl:snRNA U1 U1 spliceosomal RNA
AGACUUACCUGGCAGGGGCGGUGCCGUGAUCACGAAGGCGGUUUUCCCAGGGCGAGGCUCCUCCCUUGCACUCUGGAUGCGCCAACUCCAGUGAUUUCACCAGAUGCGGGAAACUGCAUAAUUUGUGGUGGGAGGAAUGACGGUGACAAUGACUUGUUCAAACCUCCC